rnacentral:rRNA from 1 species
UACAGAGACCUCAAGCGUUAUCCGGAAUCAUUGGGCGUAAAGCGUACCGAUAGGUGGUUAUACAAGUCAGAAGUGAAAUCUCCGAGCUCAACUCGGAAUCUGUCUUUGAACUGUAUGACUAGAGGGCAAAGAGGAAGCUGGAACGAACGGUGUAGUAGUGAAAUGCGUUGAUAUCGUUCGGAACACCAAUAGCGUAGGCAGGCUCUGGUGCCACCUGACACUGCUAGGACGGAAAGCGAUGGGGAGCGAAGGGG